ACGGAGCUAGUUGCUGCGUUGUAUUACCCGGGCUGGAAAUAAGCAUAUCAAUAAGCGGAGGAAAAGAAACCAACCGGGAUUGCCCUAGUAACGGCGAGUGAAGCGGCAAGAGCUCAAAUUUGAAAGCUGGCCCCCUCGGGGUCCGCAUUGUAAUUUGCAGAGGAUGCUUCGGGAACGGCCCCCAUCUAAGUGCCCUGGAACGGGCCGUCAUAGAGGGUGAGAAUCCCGUCUGGGAUGGGGUGGCCGCGCCCGUGUGAAGCUCCUUCGACGAGUCGAGUUGUUUGGGAAUGCAGCUCUAAUUGGGUGGUAAAUUUCAUCUAAAGCUAAAUAUUGGCCGGAGACCGAUAGCGCACAAGUAGAGUGAUCGAAAGAUGAAAAGCACUUUGAAAAGAGAGUUAAACAGCACGUGAAAUUGUUGAAAGGGAAGCGCUUGCGACCAGACUCGCCCGCGGGGUUCAGCCGGCACUCGUGCCGGUGUACUUCCCCGCGGGCGGGCCAGCGUCGGUUUGGGCGGCCGGUCAAAGGCCUCUGGAAGGUAACGCCUCUCGGGGCGUCUUAUAGCCAGGGGUGCCAUGCGGCCUGCCCGGACCGAGGAACGCGCUUCGGCUCGGACGCUGGCAUAAUGGUCGUAAGCGACCCGUCUUGAACCGGGGACCAAGGAACUAAUCUGCGCCAUGACACCA
rnacentral:rRNA from 1 species